rnacentral:tRNA from 1 species
GGGCGAUUAGCUCAGUUGGUUAGAGCGUUCGGUUCACAUCCGAAAGGUCGCAGGUUCGAGUCCUGCAUUGCCCA